rnacentral:tRNA from 1 species
GGUUAUAGCUCAGUGGUAGAUCAUUUGCUUCACAUGCAUGAGGCACUGGGUUCAAUCCUCAGCACCA